GAUGAACGCUGGCGGCGUGCCUAAUACAUGCAAGUCGAGCGAAUGGAUUAAGAGCUUGCUCUUAUGAAGUUAGCGGCGGACGGGUGAGUAACACGUGGGUAACCUGCCCAUAAGACUGGGAUAACUCCGGGAAACCGGGGCUAAUACCGGAUAAUAUUUUGAACUGCAUGGUUCAAAAUUGAAAGGCGGCUUCGGCUGUCACUUAUGGAUGGACCCGCGGCGUAUUAGCUAGUUGGUGAGGUAACGGCUCACCAAGGCAACGAUGCGUAGCCGGCCGAGGAGGGUGAUCGGCCACACUGGGACUGAGACACGGCCCAGACUCCGACGGGAGGCAGCAGUAGGGAAUCUUCCGCAAUGGACGAAAGUCUGACGGAGCAACGCCGCGUGAGUGAUGAAGGCUUUCGGGUCGUAAAACUCUGUUGUUAGGGAAGAACAAGUGCUAGUUGAAUAAGCUGGCACCUUGACGGUACCUAACCAGAAAGCCACGGCUAACUACGUGCCAGCCGCCGCAGUAA
rnacentral:rRNA from 1 species